AUGGCUUGGCCAAGGCUUAUAAAUAUGUCACAACACAGGCGACUGUAUCUCAGAAGCAUGCUUAGUCUCCCCAGUGUCACUGGGUGAAUUACAAGGAACUACAGUAGAGACAAAAGAGAGAGACACAUACAUUCUAAAACACUGUACCCAGGGGCGCCUGGGUGGUUCAGUGGCUUUGUAGAGAACAAAGUAAAAGAUGCAAUAAUCUGGUUUGAGGCAGCUGAUGCCACCCAAGGGCGAGUAGAGAUACAGCUUUAGAAUGCGGACACUUCUCAAAAUGGAAUAAAGAAAGAUUUUAUUUCGAUUGGAAAGCAACGAUGUGCAUUUUACUUCCUUGAGAAGCUAUCAGCAUGCAUUUUACUUCCUGUGCUCCUAAGACCAGAGAGAAAGACAACAAAGUGGCCCAGGAACUAAGCCAUUUGGGGAGACACCUUCCCUUUAGAGAUCACUGAUUGGUAUUUGGUGAAAACGGGAUGGCCGGGGCGGGUGUCUGUUUCAGUCUGGACACACAAGUGGCCACCGCUCUGCAGAGCUGCUUGUGCUCAGGCCUGCAUCCCUUAUCCAGGUCCAGACGGCGAACACUUCAUCCUAACGUUCUCGCCAGCCAGUACAAGUCCGGGCUUCAACAAGUUACGUGUUUCUUUUCUUACACAAGCCCAGAGACACAAUAAUACACUGUGGCUCUCAUGAAAAGUAUGCUAAUUGGUGAUGCUUUCCAGACAUCGGUGUCAAAAUUUACUUGUAGUUGGUGCCUACUUGCUCACGUUUCAUUCGAGUUCAAAUUAUUUGCUCUGCAAGGGAAAUGUUUACUUUUGUACACAUUUUGGUUCCAACCUCCGAAACCAUGGCUAGAAAUUAAUCUGAACCACUGAAUGUCUGCUUUAAAAUCCAAACCCAAGUCUACCAGUUUAAUGCCAUCAAUUACAAAUACACUGUUUUUAAAACUCUGUUGUGAAUAGUGGAAUAGUCUCACCACACACACCAGAGCCCUAGUCCUGACGAAUUAUUCAAAACUAUAGUUCA